rfam:Candidatus Curtissbacteria bacterium RIFCSPHIGHO2_12_FTLL_38_9b rifcsphigho2_12_scaffold_14928, whole genome shotgun sequence.
UUUUUUGAGAGUUUGAUCCUAGCUCAGGAUGAACGCUGGCGGCGUGCCUAAGGCAUGCAAGUCGAACGCUUGUGCGUAGCACAAGAAUGAUAAAAAUACUACAAAUAAAUACCAAUAUGUACCAAUCAAUGAAAAAUUAAGAAUAUUUAAGUAUUUAAUAAUUCUCUCAUUGAUUUGAAAUUUGAAAUUGGUACUUAUUUGACAUUUGUCAUUCUCGCGCUGCGCGCGAGAGUGGCGGAAGGGUGAGUAACGCGUGGGAACGUACCUUUUGGUGGAGCAUAGCCUUCUGAAAAGAGGGGUAAUUCUCCGUAAGCCCGCAAGGGGAUAGGGUCUAACCACCCGCCGAAAGAGCGGCCUACGUCCUAUCAGCUUGUUGGUGGGGUAAUAGCCUACCAAGGCAAUGACGGGUAGCUGGACUGAGAGGUCGGUCAGCCACAAGGGAACUGAGACACGGUCCCUACAUCUACGGAUGG